rnacentral:rRNA from 1 species
GGUGGCUGCAUGGCGUGUCGUCAGCUCGUGUCGUGAGAUGUUGGGUUAAGUCCCGUAACGAGCGCAACCCUUGUCCUUAGCUACCAGCACGUUAUGGUGGGCACUCUAAGGAGACUGCCGGUGACAAACCGGAGGAAGGUGGGGAUGACGUCAAGUCAUCAUGGCCCUUACGGCCUGGGCUACACACGUGCUACAAUGGUCGGUACAAAGGGUUGCCAAGCCGCGAGGUGGAGCUAAUCCCAUAAAACCGAUCGUAGUCCGGAUCGCAGUCUGCAACUCGACUGCGUGAAGUCGGAAUCGCUAGUAAUCGUGAAUCAGAAUGUCACGGUGAAUACGUUCCCGGGCCUU